rnacentral:rRNA from 1 species
UACAGAGGGGGCAAGCGUUGUUCGGAAUUACUGGGCGUAAAGGGCGCGUAGGCGGCCUGCUAAGUCGAACGUGAAAUCCCCGGGCUCAACCCGGGAACUGCGUCCGAUACUGGCAGGCUUGAAUCCGGGAGAGGGAUGCGGAAUUCCAGGUGGUAGCGGUGAAAUGCGCAGAUAUCAGGAGGAACACCGGUGGCGAAGGCGGAUCUCCUGGGCCUUACCUGACGCUCAGGCGCGAAAGCGUGGGGAGCGAACAGG